rnacentral:RNase_P_RNA from 1 species
CGAAGCAGAACAGAUGAUCGCCGCCUCUUAGAGGGGGAGGAAAGUCCGGGCUCCAUAGGGCGUGGUGCUGGAUAACGUCCAGCGGGGGUGACCCCAGGGAAAGUGCCACAGAGAGAAGUCCGCCUGCCGAAGCCUCGGCAAAGGCAGGUAAGGGUGAAAGGGUGAGGUAAGAGCUCACCGGGUCUGCCGGUGACGGUGGAUGCCAGGUAAACCCCACCAGGAGCAAGGCCAAAUAGGGGAGCGUUAAGGGCGGCCCGCCCGUGCUUCCGGGUUGGCUGCUGGAGGCCGUCGGUAACGGCGGUCCUAGAUGAAUGAUCAUCGUUGCUUCGUGGGUAACCAUGAGGCGGAACAGAACCCGGCUUACGGUCUGCUUCGGCCA